rnacentral:lncRNA from 1 species
AUGAAGAGUAGGUCAGCAAGGACUAGUGCCAAAUGCAGGAAGAGGAGGAGUCAUUUUGUCCAAUCUUUACUUUGCAACUGUUACCAAUGGGUUCUGUGGGUGAUUUCAGAAAAUGAACAGAAGAUACAUCAGAUCUCUCCUGUACUUUGCAGAAACCACUGCCUAUGGACUUGCAGUAAACAUUCAAGUGAUUCAAGCCUCUUUAAGGACUGUGAAUUUCUUGUGAAAAAUUCUUGUCUGAAACCUAUUUUUCUAAAGAACAGUUUUCUGGGACAUCUUUCACCCAACAUCUCAUUGCUCAGACUGCCACAGAUAUUUAAUGUUUUUACUGAGCAGCUCAGUACCAUCACACUGCAACCACAGGUUAAAAUACUUGGAGCUCAGGACCCUUACGAAUGCCUUCACUUUGAGGCUUUGAAGAAGGCACAGCUGCAACCGCUUUUCCUUCAGGGGCCUCACAGUGCACUGAGCACGUGCAGAAACUUCUGGAGUGCAGUCUGCUCUUCAGGCACCUGAAAGCAUCCUGAAAGCUGCAAGUUGCAC